UCGUCAUUGCUUAACGAUUAUUCUAAAUAAAAUAUUAAAAGUUUUAAAAGUCAGAUUUUCUUAUUAGAUUAUUUUUAAUGAAUUCCAAAAAAUUCGAUGUAAUAAUAUACGGGGCCAGCGGUUUUGUAGGAAAAUGUGCAGUCUUACAGGCAUUGGAGGUCUUGAAAGACUAUAACUGGGCCAUAGCCGGUAGAUCAGAGGAUAAAUUACAAAUGGUAUUAAAAGAAGUUUCCCGAAAAACUGGAAAGAAUCUAACAAAUAUACCAAUCUUAUUAGCAAAUGCCCAUGAUUUAGAGAAACUGGAAAUUUUAGCAGCGAAAUGCAAGAUUCUAGUAAAUUGUUGUGGACCUUAUCAAUUGUUAGGGGAAAAUAUUUUGAGCACUUGCAUCAUGCAGCGUACCCAUUAUGUGGAUAUGUGUAAUGAUCCUUAUUUUAAUGAACUAAUGGUACUUAAAUAUCAUGAAAAAGCUUUAGAACAUGAGGUAUUUGUCAUUUCAGCCUGUGGUUUUCAUAGUUUGCCCUUAGAAUUGGCUUUAAAUUAUGUGCGGCAACAUUUUAAGGGUACUGUAAAUAGUGUCGAUGCUUUUAUGCGUUAUAAUUUUGGUUAUUAUUUUUAUUUUCCUCUCUAUCCGCUAUGGACUUCUAACGCUUGGUUAAGUUUAUUAUGGUCUUGUGUAAAAUUUCCAGAUUUAUCAUUGUUAAGAGAUGAAUUAUGGCAGGAUUUUAUGCCUCAUUUAUGGCCAAGGCAUCGCAUAGAAGAGCUUUCGCAACGCUCUAACUAUCAUGAAGAGGGAGUUAUGGUAAAUUUUCCAUUUAUAGAUCAGCAAUGUAUAGAAAGAUCACAAUAUUUAUGGUUUGCAAGGAAUAAGAGAAGACCUAUUCAGUUUUGUAAAUAUAUAGAAUUUCCUUCCUACUUCUGGGCGGUACUUUUUAUCAUUUGGUGUCUCAUUAUAUCCCUUCUGACGCAAUUCAAUAGAAUACGUACUAUAAUGCAAAAUUAUCCCAAAAUAUUUUCCAUUGGCAUGUUUUCGCACAAAGGCCCAAACUAUUAUCUCUUGGAAAUGUCUUCGUAUAAAAUGAAAUUGCAAGCCAAAGGUUGGUCAACUUCGACUUCGUAUCCAAAAUUACAUAUAAGUGAUAAUACUAUAGUUGAUCGUCAACUAAAUAUUGAAAUAAGUGGUGAGAAUCCUUUUUAUGGCUGCGGUUGUGUUUGCCUGCUAUUGAGCGCUUUAACUAUACUGGAGGAAGGAAAUAAAAUGCCGGAAAGAGGAGGAGUAUUACCACCUGGUUAUGCCUUUUACAAUACCAAUAUUUUACAUAAAUUUAAAAAUUUUUCAAAUUAUUUGCGCAUCAAAGUUUUAUAAAUGUUUAAAAAGAAAAUCACGACCAUUGAAAACCCUAUAUUUAAUAAAGAGUUUAUAUUUAACUAGAUUUUUAAAUUUCAUUACAUAUUAACUAUUAAUUACAAUUGAUACUAAUAAACAUUGGCUAAUUUAUUUUAAAAA
rnacentral:misc_RNA from 1 species